UCCUCUGAUCCAAUAGCCAUGAACUGAUCACUUAAUCCCUUUUAACUGUCCUAAAGAUUCGGAUUCGACCCAAGUGAUACCAUUCUCUCAUCUCAAUUCCACACAAACAUCAAACUCCCCUCUCAGCCACCGGAAAUCGCCUACGGCGGCAGAUCUUCCCCUAAUGACUACAAAAUUUGACCACUUAAUCUUCAUGCCAUCCUCGUACUUAAUUCCACACCAGCUUCCUCGGAAAAGUUCCUAAGCUCCUCGAAUUUUAGAUCUUAGAACCAAAGAAAGAAAUAAUAAACCUAAUCUUUGGCUACCCCUUUUUAAUACCUUACACGCCUGAGCCCAUCUCGAGUUAAUCUUAUACCAAACGACUAUCUUCAAUGAAUACUUUCGAUUGUUAUUUGUUUCACGUCAUUUUACGGCGACUAGAUCUUGAUCAAACCUCCAUUGAUUGGACAAGAGCUUUGAAUCCUCCGCUGCCUUAUUUCUCCCGCCCCGAUGUGGUAGUCGAUAUCAUUACAUAUAGCAGUAGCUCUGCCUUUAGGUGCGAGCCAGUUCUCAUGUUACGAUGUCAGCUAUCAUCCAGUGAUUUCCUGGUUUCGUCGGUUUCAAAGGUGAUCCCUUUCUAUUCUUAAUGAUAAAACCUAUUAAAUCUUUUUGUGGUUUGUUAAUUCCCCUUGUUGAUUCAGUGAUAUGAUAGCUAUUUAUGUUUAUUUGUUCAAAUUAGUUUUAUGUUAGUUCCCCUUAUUGAUUCAGUGAUACGAUGUCAGCUAUUUAUGAUUUAGGUGUUGUUCAUUACUCUUGAUUCUCUAUCUCUGUUUGGAUUAAACUUAUUCUAUUUUUUAUUUUAACUUCAAGGGGGUUGGGUCGGUCUUGAUUGAUAAACAUGUUCAUUAAAGUGAAUCUGGGCUUCAGGGAAUGAAAGGCUAAAAAGAACUGUGGUCCAUUAUCAACAAAGGUCUUGAUUAAUAAUACUUACUAGAGGUAAAUGUAGUUGUCUUAAGGGGUAUUCUAAGAACUAGAAGAAAAGAAUCUAUUCUUUAACCGUUUUAGAAGAUCCUAGAAGAUAGACUAAGGACCAAUUUAAAGGGGGCUGGAAGGAAAAAGAGGCAACAGAAGGUACAACUGUACCAAAAAGUUGUAGAAAGAUGCCUUUUCCUAAUUUUUAAGGGCUGACAUAUUCUGGAUAUUCUCUCAUUUUUAUUUUGUAUAAAAAGACACUCGCACUCUCAUUCUAACACAUGCAAGAAAGAGCAGAAUAAUCGUCUUUUCAUUUUUUCUUGGCUUUUAUCUUUUGCAUUUUCAAUCAGAAAGAUCAGGCAUUCCCUUUAUACAUUCGUUUUGUUUCUUAAAAAGAAAGAACACUCAUCUUCAUUGAUAUAACUUUGAAGACUAGAAUAAGAAAAACUCAAAAACCAAAAAAAUAAGGGGUUCGAAACUGUAAUUGAUCUCUAUUCAUUUAUUGUUCCUUUCUAGAAAUCUCAAGUUUUGGCUGAGCUGUUGAUUUGUUGCUUAUGUGCUGCUGUCCUUUAGCCUUCAACUCAGGAUUUUAUUUAGUCUACAUUUCAUCUCUGUUGCUAGGUAUGUUUUGUUAUUUUCUUGUAAUUCUCUCAUGCUCCUUAGUGAACGAAGGGUUUGUUUAAUUAUGCUACAUUCUGUUAACCCACCUAAACUUGUUAUUUUCUUUCUGAUUCAUAAUAUUAAGUUUUUAUUCAUGAACUUCUUGCUCAAAGUUAUUAUAAAUUAGCUAUUUAGUUGAGUCAUGCCUAUUUACUAAUCAGAUUUGAAGUAUGCUUGUGUGUUAUUUUGAAGUUUGGUCAUUGCAAGAGAUUAAUUAGUUGACAAUUGUGACCACCAGUUGGUCACAAUUGUGAAUUAUAGAACACAGAUCCACGCCAAGCGAUUUAAAUGUCUUAAUGAUCGUUGUCUCGUUCCCUAUUUUUAUCUGAAUGAAUGUUUGGUAGUCACUUGAUAGCUUGUCUACUGCUGAUCAAAAUAAGGGAUUUAGAGGUCUAUAGUUGCGAAUUUGGCCAUAGUUUGGUAUGAUUUGUAGUUGAGGACCUAGGUGAAGUUUCACUUUUGUUUGUAGCUAUUAAGCAUACAUUGUAAUUAGGAUCAUAGUAAGGGUUAACCAAAGUUUAAUUCUUUAAUGGGGUAAGAAUUUUGUAAUUUUAAGCAUGAGAUAAUGUACUGUAUAAUUGGCAAUAUAACGGUUUGGGUGACUAUUCAUGCAAAUCACAAACAUUUAAAUUGAUAUAUAUUAGUUUAUUGUUCAAACCAUCUGUUUAUUUUGUUGCGUUACAAUAUUGCCAAUCAAUUGUUGAAUGAAACUGUUGGUUUUUUUAAAACAUACAAAGUGCGUAGGGGUUUCAAAAAGUUCUGUGUAAUACCCUAUAUAUUAAUAAAGGGAUAUAAGUCUUUAACCAAAGUUUUCUUGUUUAAAAAAUAAUUAGAAAAGAAAGAAUCAACAAAAGAAAAUGUAACAACCCGAUCGGUCGUUAUGAGCAUUUGCACUUCGCUCGGUUGUUUGAAGUCAUGAGUAGCUCUGUAUGAAGUAUUAUGACUUAUAUGAAUCGUCGGUUUUGGUUUUUAGGUUAUUUGGAAUUGAUUUGGAAGAAUUAUUCUCAGUUAGAAGCUUUAAAUUUGAAAGGUUUGAUCAAGUUUUGACUUUCUAGAAUUUGACCUCGGAUUGGAUUUUUGAUGGUUUCAUUAACUCUGUUGGGUGAUUUUGGACUUAUGAGCGCGUCCGGAUUGUGAUUUUGAGGUCCGUAGUAGAAUUUGGCUUGAAAUAGCAGAAGUUGAAAUUUUGGAAAGUUUAACCGGGAGUGGGUUUUUGAUAUCGUGGUCAAAUUCCGAUCCGGAAGUUUGAUCAGGUCCAUAAUGUCAAAUUUGACUUGUGUGCAAAAUUUUAGGUCAAUCGGACGUGAUUUGAUAGGUUUUAGCAUCAGUUGUGGAAGGUUGAUGUUUCAAGUUCAUUGAUUUCGAAUUGAGGUGUGCUCCGGCGUUUUGAUGUUGUUAUGUUUGUUUUGAGGCCUCGAGUAGGUCAGUAUUCUGUUAUGAGACUUGUUGGUAUGUUCGAACAGAGUCCCAACGGGCUCGGGUGAGUUUCAAAUAGGUUUGGGUUGUGUUGCGCUUGUUUUUUAAUGUUUCGACAUCGUUUUUCAAGCAUAAAUGGUACAAUAUUAAGCAAAUGAGCUCCGAUUUCUUUUUUUAUUGAAGCAUUAGAUCCAUAUCGUAAUUAUGGAGUCAUAUAAAAAAGAAUCGUCAAAUUUGGACAUCGUAUGAUGAUUUUAUAGUCAUCUUACUAAGAAUUGGGUUGCGAGAUUUUUCAGAUUAAUUACGAUAUUGUGACUGAAUUCGUAUUUAAAAUCUGCACUAUUUUCAAAUAUUGAAACCAACAUAUCUACUUCAAUAUAAGGUCAAAUGGAUUGAUUCAAGAGCCUAACUUGACUAAAAUUUCACAAGGAAUAUAUUGGAAUCAUCAAAAGUGAGUUUUGGGAUAAUUUUGAAUGAGAAUCGAGGAAGAAUACUGGCAGAAAAAUAUAUAAAAUUAGGGUUUAUUCAUUUGGUCUUAUUUUGAGUUGGGGAGCUCGGAUUUGGGUAUUUUGGAGAUGAUUUUCACCAUAUGGAUUGGGGUAAGUGUUCUGUACUUGGUUUUGGUUAUAUUUCAUGAAUCCAUUUUUAUAUUUGGUAUUUAAUUGAUGAUAUCAAAAUGCAAUUUAGGGGUUUUUGCCUAAAGUUUCAUAAAGUGAAUUUUUAAGUUUUGAACAACGAUUCAGAGUUAAAAUUGGAUGAAACUAGUAUGGUUAGACUCAUAAUUGAAUAGGCUAUCAGAUUUUAUAAGUUUUGACGAGUUUCGAAAUGCUGGCCCGGGUUGGGCUUUUUGGCCGAUUAUGGGCUUUUUCGAUUGGGAUUUGUUACUUUAGCAUUGUUUGAUGUAUUUGAGUUAGUUUUGGUUAGUUUCGAGCCGUUCAUAGGUUAGAACGCGUGAGAUGCCAUUUUUGGAACAUCGCUUGGCUUGCUCGCUAUUGGAAAUGGCUUCUUUGAGGUAUGUAACGAUUGUAAAUCUAGUCCUGAGGGUAUGAAACCCCGGAUUUUAUAUCGUUUUACUAUUUUAAGGUGACGCGCAUACUAGGUGACGGGCGUGUGAGCGUGAAUCGUUGGGGAUUUUGACUUGGUCCAUCCCGUAGCAACUAUAAGUUGCGUAUUUGGUUGAAACUAUAUGAUACUUAUGUGUUUUAGAAAGAAUUUCUAUAAAUUGGGCUGAACGUCGUACCUUUCUUGUGCUAGAGCUAUUUGGACCCUUAGGGGCCUUUUUCUUACUACCCUCUCACUAUUUUUGAUUAGAAAUCUAUACUCAGUCAUGUUAUACUUAUUGUUUUCAUAACUCAGUCUUUAUUACUCUGUUUUGAUGCAUAUAAAAAUUGUUUUGGGAUGAGUACCCUAUUUUUACUGAGAGCCCGAGUGGCUUGAGAGCUUUAUGACUGAGUGAGGCUGAGGGCCUGAUUUUUAAGGAUAUUUAUGGGAUUAGGCUGCACGCCGUAGUAUGUUUUAAUGAGUAAGGCUGAGGGCCUGAUUUGUGAGGAUAUUUAUAGGAUCGGGCUGCACGCCGCAAUAUGUUUACUGAUUCAUGAUUGAGUGAGGCCGAGGUCCUGAUUGAUUUAUGUGACGAGGUGGCUUGUUAUAGCGCUUGGGUUGUAGGAGCCCCUCCGGAGUCUCCACACCCUCAGUGAGCGUGGGUACCCUAGGUGAGUGAUUUGAUGUUCUACCCGAGGGGCUGUUCUUGAUUCAUGUUGUGCCCGAGGGGCUAUUUACAAGUGAUUGUGAGGUAUGCCCUAGGGGCUGUAUAUGAGUGACUGUGAGGUUUCCCGAGGGAGUGUUUAUGAUUUAUGUUUGCCCGAGGGGCUUCUCACCAGUGAUGUUUUUCUCGAGUGGCUGCUCACGAUUUAUGUUUGCCCGAAGGGCUGUUCACCAGUGAUGUUUCGCCCGAGGGGCUGUUUAUGCUUUCAUCAUAUUUUUUUACCCACUGUUUCAUCACUUUGGUUGAAAGAUGUUUAAACGGUUUUACUGAAUUUGGAUUUAAACGAGUUGAGUUGAUUCAAACCCUGAUAUUAAAAGCAUGUUGUAUUCUAUUGAGAUUUCAUGAUUUGAUAUGUAUAUGUUUUAUUGCUCGUCACUACUAAUCAGUCUUUAUUUACUUUGGUUACUUACUGAGUUGGCGUACUCAUGUUAUUCCCUGCACCUUGUGUGCAGAUCCAGGUAUUUCGGAUUCCGGUAGCGGGUGUUAAUUAUUCGGUGGCAGAUCCAUCGGAGUUAGCAAGGUAGCUGACUGGCGAUCAUAGCCCUGCUUUACUCCCUCUUUAUCUUCCCUUAGUUGUAUUCUGUUAUUUUCAGGCUAUGUUUGUCUUGAUAUUGUCAAACGGUUGUAAUAGAUUCUCAUGACUAGUGACACCCCGAUUCGGGUUUCUUUUCCACACUUUUGUUUUUGAUUUACACUCCUUAUGAAGUUUUUAUAUUAAAUAACUUUGUAAAUUAUCUUGAAAAUGAAAAUCUUAUUUUGUUUUGGUAAUGUGUUGGCUUGCUUAGUACCAUGAUAGGCGCCAUCACGACAAGAUUAGUUUUGGG
rnacentral:lncRNA from 1 species